CAAAACACCACUAUACCGGUGAAUAUAAAUUAAG
rnacentral:guide_RNA from 1 species